rnacentral:lncRNA from 1 species
AGUGCGAGCCUUUCCUCACCCCAAAACCCUCAGACACCUGUCCCCGGUUUAAAAUCCUGUUGUUCUAUUCCAAAGCUGUGCCACCACGGCACACAAAAUGGCGCCGACCGCAUGGCCGAGCAGCCCAGGAAAGACCAACAAAAUGGCGCCUCUUCACCUCCCUGCCCCCUCUUGGUUCCCGCCACUUCCCCUCUAACCCCUUCUCUGUCGAGUGCUGCCCCUGUGUCGGGUCCUGCCCCCACAAACGCGUCUAUGGUGUCAGCGUCGGGACUCGCCCCCUCUGUCCCCAUGGCCACACCCCUGGGUGGGCCCCCGGUGGGAGGGACCGGCCUACAGGAAGUCCGUGCCCCUGUGGGUGGGAACCCCCUGCCGGAAGGCCCCGCCUCCCCCUCUCCAGCUGCUGCCGGUUCCCACGCCAAUGGAACUGGAAGUCGGCCUGGCUGGAAGCAGGCCUGGCUGGAAGCAGGCCAUCUUGGCCUGCCGGGCUUCACGCCACCGGAGCCCACCGGCUAUCUCAACUACAAAAAGCCAUCUGCUCCUCUUUCACUGAGAAUGACUGACAGCAAACCAAUGCUUGUCAGGAAGCAUGAAACAGAAAACACAAGAUGUUACACAGAGGAGAGCAGAUGUUUGGACAAUCCCCGUCCAGGUGCUCAGUGCAUCAGUGCUUCCCUUCCACGAAUCACACAGUGCUGGAACUCAUGAGCCAAGCAAGCAAACAAGCAUCCUGCAUGGAUCUGACAUGUGGCCAUUGAAGCAGUGGGGUAGAGACAACUGGGCAUUAAAAACAAAACACAAACUUAAUAAUUUUGUGACAGGAACUGUGCAAUAGCAGGUCAUUGUCCUUGGUAGAACAGAAGGUCUCUUCAAUUCUGUGUUGUUAGUUGCUAAGCUGCCUCAUGACAGGUAAAUAUGACUUCUUACCUAAUUUUCUUAAAUCUAAUUUUACUAUCAAUUACUAUCUUCCUUUCUCUCCUCCAAUUCAUAUAUUAAAAUAAAGUCAGAAAAAAUAAUCAGGAUUAAUCAUUCCCAGGAUGAGAAAAGCAAAUGUGAUGAGAUCUUGCUCUCCUUUUCAUUUACUUACUCUCACAUUUUGUUUAUUAUUUACUUCAUGAUGUUUUAUACUGUUGUGGUGGUGUUUAUACAAGCCAUAUCAUUAAGAGAUAUAAAAGUUCUAGUUCAUUUAAAGAUAAUGAUAUUUUGUGUAAAUAAAAUGUGUCAUCCA